rnacentral:rRNA from 1 species
AGCUCACCGGAUAGACAGCUGGAUGAUAGCCGGGCUGAAGACUCUGCUUGACUAGCUGAGAGGAGGUGCAUGGCCGUCGUCAGUUCGUACUGUGAAGCAUCCUGUUAAGUCAGGCAACGAGCGAGACCCACGCCAACAGUUGCCAGCAUGUCCUCCGGGAUGAUGGGGACACUGUUGGGACCGCCUCUGCUAAAGAGGAGGAAGGAAUGGGCAACGGUAGGUCAGCAUGCCCCGAAUUAUCCGGGCUACACGCGGGCUACAAUGGUCAGGACAAUGGGUAUCGACACCGAGAGGUGGAGGCAAUCUCCUAAACCUGUCCUUAGUUCGGAUUGUGGGCUGCAACUCGCCCACAUGAAGCUGGAAUCCGUAGUAAUCGCGUUUCAAAAUAGCGCGGUGAAUAUGUCCCUGCUCCUU